CCGCAGAGUUUGAUCAUGGCUCAGGACGAACGCUUGCGGGCGUGCCUAAGAAAUGCAAGUCGAACGGAUCAGCAGCAAUGCUGGUUAGUGGCGAACGGUCGCGCAACACGUAAGCAACCUGCCUUGAGGUUGGGGAUAACAGUCCGAAAGGUCUGCUAAUACCGGAUGUGGUCCAUGGAUGGCAUCAUUUGUGGUCUAAAGAUUUAUCGCUUCAAGAUGGGCUUGCGGCCUAUCAGGUAGUUGGUGGGGUAAUGGCCUACCAAGCCGACGACGGGUAGCUGGUCUGAGAGGACGACCAGCCACACUGGGACUGAAACACGGCCCAGACUCCUACGGGAGGCAGCAGUAGGGAAUAUUGCGCAAUGGGCGAAAGCCUGACGCAGCGACGCCGCGUGGGUGAUGAAGGCCUUCGGGUCGUAAAGCCCUGUCGAGGGGAGAGAAACGGUCUCGACCCAAUACGUCGGGGCCCUGACGGUACCCCUAAAGGAAGCACCGG
rnacentral:rRNA from 1 species